AGGGGCUUAGGAUAACACAAGACCAAGAGCCUUCAAAGCUCUAAGUAGGAGUGAGAAUCUCCUAGCCCCUG
rnacentral:tRNA from 1 species